rnacentral:tRNA from 1 species
GCCUGAGUGGCUCAGUCGAUUCAGCGUCUGAUUUCAGCUCAAGUUGUGAUCUCAUAGUUCGUGGGUUCGAGCCCCGCGUCAGGCU